CUGGGGGACUGUCUCAGCCAAUAGCCUGGUGAAAAUGCAAUGUCAGUAAAGAUGCUGACUACCCGCACCAAGACGGAAAGACCCCGGGAGCUUUACUGCAGCUUGUUAUUGGGUUGCGAGUUUUACUGCGUAGCGUAGUGGGUAGGAUUUGAAGGUUCGAUUUCGGUUGGACCGGAUCCGCCAAUGAAACACCCAUCUGUAAAAUUUGUAAUUCUAACUGGUGAAACCCUUUUAGUUUAGGAGACCUGCCGAUUGGCAGGCAAAGGGAAUGUAAAGUCCGGAGGAGGAGUGUUAGUAAUCAUUAGUAAUAAUGGGAUUUUAUGUUCCCAGAAAAUUUCUCAUAAGCCAAAAGGGUUUCACCAAGACAGUGGCUGGUGGGCAGUUUUGCUGGGGCUGCAGCCUCAAGGCGGCUUGUUACUUGCCGCAGGGGCCAUUGAGAAGCAAUUCUCAAUAGCAAAUUCGACUAUAUGCUGGAAACUCCGCCAGUAUCUCUAGGUACUAUGAUAUUAUGAUAUAUCAUAGUGAAAAUCCUAAGAGUGAUGCGGACAAUCAGCAGGCAACCCCGCUCAAAUUUUUGGAAAUAAAAAAGUGGAUUUCUGGGAUUCAGGAUCCGGCCUCGAUUAGAGGUUGCCAUCCUUUCGGAAGGAUGCCCUGAAAUGCUUCCCACGCAAAAUCCACUUUCAUGCUAGUAUAUCAAAUAAAUAAUGCACUUGUCAAGUGUUUGUUUCUAAAAAUUUGAGCGGGAGAGUCCUCAACGACUGAAAGUCGAACCAGUUAUAUUUCAAAAAAAUGACUGGAUGAUACAGUCUGAACUUAUAGGCGACUAUAAGAUUUGGUAAAUCUCAAUACUUGUAGCCAUUGAGUAAUCCAAACAAUAUGUACGACUUACAAUGUCGUGCAUUCGUAACACUAUUGCCCAAAGAGUAACGGAGGCGUUCAUUAAGGUUGGCUAGCUCUGGAUGGACAUCAGAGCGAUAGUGUAAAGGCACAAGCCAGCUUGACUGCAAGGCGGAUAUGCCGCGCAGGUGCGAAAGCAGGACUUAGUGAACCGAUGGUACCUCGUAGGAGGGCCAGAGAUUAACAGAUAAAAGCUACCCCGGGGAUAACAGGCUGGUACUGCCCGAGCGUCAACAUGGGCGCUCAUUAAAUCGGCUUAUAACGGUGAAACCUUCCUUAAUUUGUGAUAAAAUUAAGAUGGCAAUACCGUGGGAAGAUAAUUGUAAAACAUACUUGUCUUGGAGAA
rnacentral:ncRNA from 1 species